CCAAAACUUAGCUGCUCCAGUUCAGGCUGGUUGCACGCUUCAACCCUUUGUGAACCAAAAACCUUUACGCUUCGGCAGCUGGUUCCAGCUGCAAGCCUGCCGAUGGCACCCAUUUAAACCUGUCGUUAAAUAUUUGUCUGAACUAAAUAUUUUCGAAUGAAAAUUA
rnacentral:misc_RNA from 1 species